rnacentral:rRNA from 1 species
GAUGAACGCUGGCGGCGUGCCUAAUACAUGCAAGUCGAGCGAACAGACGAGGAGCUUGCUCCUCUGACGUUAGCGGCGGACGGGUGAGUAACACGUGGAUAACCUACCUAUAAGACUGGGAUAACUUCGGGAAACCGGAGCUAAUACCGGAUAAUAUAUUGAACCGCAUGGCUCAAUAGUGAAAGACGGUUUUGCUGUCACUUAUAGAUGGAUCCGCGCCGCAUUAGCUAGUUGGUAAGGUAACGGCUUACCAAGGCGACGAUGCGUAGCCGACCUGAGAGGGUGAACGGCCACACUGGAACUGAGACACGGGCCAGACUCCUACGGGAGGCAGCAGUAGGGAAUCUUCCGCAAUGGGCGAAAGCCUGACGGAGCAACGCCGCGUGAGUGAUGAAGGUCUUCGGAUCGUAAAACUCUGUUAUUAGGGAAGAACAAAUGUGUAAGUAACUAUGCACGUCUUGACGGUACCUAAUCAGAAAGCCACGGCUAACUACGUG